UACGUAGGGGGCUAGCGUUGUCCGGAUUUAUUGGGCGUAAAGAGCGUGUAGGCGGCCAGGUAGGUCUGGUGUGAAAACUCGAGGCUUAACCUCGAGAUGUCAUCGGAAACCAUCUGGCUAGAGUCCGGAAGAGGAGAGUGGAAUUCCUGGUGUAGCGGUGAAAUGCGCAGAUAUCAGGAAGAACACCAAUGGCGAAGGCAGCUCUCUGGGACGGUAUUGACGCUGAGACGCGAAAGCGUGGGGAGCGAACAGG
rnacentral:rRNA from 1 species